GAUAAGGGAAAUUCGUUCUCGUCAAUUCGCGUUCGUAGAGUUAUUGUGUUCUCUUUAUAUCGUGAAGUGUUAAGCCUUGACGUUUGAUAAUGAGAGCGAAGUGGCGUAAAAAACGUAUGAGGAGGUUGAAGCGCAAGAGGAGGAAGAUGAGGGAAAGGUCCAAGUAAACAUUGUAAUCCUCAAUAAAUCUUAAGAUCAGGAAGAUUGAAGGGAAAAAGAAGAAUUUGUGAAAGAAAUGACGACCACUUGUGGUUCUGAAGAAGUUUACAAGCACAGAUGUUUCUAGAUUAGAAACCUGUGAUCUUCAGCUUCAAUCAGCAAGCUUUUUGUAAUGCUGAAAAAGGCUUUUAUUUUCAUUGUAUAUUAAACUUGUUUUUACAGUUUUUUUAAGCUGGAAAGAUAACUGUUUGUGAUACAAUAAACUGACCUCCAAACAUUUUUA